UCGUGCUAGACGGGGAGGUAGCGGCACCCUGAACCUGAAAUCCGCUAUAGCAGGGUUGAAUCCCCAUUCUCGGCUUGCUAACUGUAGGGUCUGCCCUUUAUAAGUGGCAAUGAAAGCCGGGUCUUACGCAAUAGAAACUUGUGAACCCCGCCAGGUCCGGAAGGAAGCAACGGUAAGCAAUCAUUUCUAUGUGCCGUAAGGUUGCCUGGUUCGAGUUAACUGUACUGGUAACGCUUAUGGUUAGAAGUCAAAAAUGGGUGCACGG
rnacentral:SRP_RNA from 1 species